GAUGAACGCUGACAGAAUGCUUAACACAUGCAAGUCAUUGGCGAAGCUGCGCUUGCGCAGUCUAGCCAAGGCGGACGGGUGAGUAACGCGUAAGGAACUUGCCCUGCAGACAGGGAUAACAGACGGAAACGACUGAUAACACCUGGUAUUGUCAGGCUGGCGCAUGCCGGCCUGAUGAAAGGAGACGCUGCAGGAGAGCCUUGCGUCCUAUUAGCUAGUUGGUGGGGUAACGGCCCACCAAGGCGAUGAUAGGUAGCCGGCCUGAGAGGGUGAACGGCCACAAGGGGACUGAGAUACGGCCCUUAUUCCUACGGGAGGCAGCAGUGGGGAAUAUUGGACAAUGGGGGCAACCCUGAUCCAGCAAUUCUGUGUGCACGAAGAAGGUUUUCGGAUUGUAAAGUGCUUUCAGCAGGGAAGAAGAAAGUGACGGUACCUGCAGAAGAAGCGACGGCUAAAUACGUG
rnacentral:rRNA from 1 species